rnacentral:rRNA from 1 species
CCUACGGGUGGCAGCAGUGGGGAAUAUUUGGCAAUGGACGCAAGUCUGACCCAGCAACGCCGCGUGAAGGAAGAAGGCUUUCGGGUUGUAAACUUCUUUUAAGGGGGAAGAGCAGAAGACGGUACCCCUUGAAUAAGCCACGGCUAACUACGUGCCAGCAGCCGCGGUAAUACGUAGGUGGCAAGCGUUGUCCGGAUUUACUGGGUGUAAAGGUCGUGCAGCCGGAGAGACAAGUCAGAUGUGAAAUCCACGGGCUCAACCCCGGCGAGCCGUUGAAACUGGCUGUCUUGAGAUGUCGAGAGGUAUGCGGAAUGCGCAGUGGAGCGGUGAAAUGCUGAGAUAUUGCGCAGAACUCCGAUUGCGAAGGCAGCAUACCGGCGGCGAUCUGACGCUGAGGCACGAAAGCGUGGGUAUCGAACAGGAUUAGAUACCCCUGUAGUC